GUGAGGAAUAUUGAGCAAUGGGCGCAAGCCUGACUCAGCAACGCCGCGUGGAUGAUGAAGGCCUUCGGGUUGUAAAAUCCUUUUCUGGGGAACGAUAAUGACGGUACCCCAGGAAUAAGUCCCGGCUAACUACGUGCCAGCAGCCGCGGUAAAACGUAGGGGGCGAGCGUUAUCCGGAUUUAUUGGGCGUAAAGCGCACGUAGGCGGCGCUGAAAGUUGGACGUGAAAGCUCCUGGCUUAACUGGGAGAGGUCGUUCAAUACUACAGGGCUUGAGGUUGGAAGAGGAGAGCGGAAUUCCCGGUGUAGUGGUGGAAUGCGUAGAUAUCGGGAGGAACUCCAGUGGCGAAAGCGGCUCUCUGGUCCACCCCUGACGCUGAGGUGCGAAAGCGUGGGGAGCGAACGGGAUUAGAAACCCCAGUAGUCC
rnacentral:rRNA from 1 species